UCCUGCAAAAGGUCCCACCCCUUCACUACCUCUUUCGGGGGGGAAACAAGGGAGGACCUUUGCUACCCCAUUCCGUGUUUUUAUCGCGUACCACGUCAGUUUCCUCGGUGGGCUUGCCUACCGGUCGGACACUCGUACAAACCCUUUUGCAGUUGCAAUCAACGUCUGAUACAAUCAAAUAGUUA
rnacentral:misc_RNA from 1 species